ACAAAAUGUUGUAUUAUUUACUUUAAAACAAUUUUCACUCGGAAAUUGCUAGUAUACAUUUAAAAAAAAUAAUAAUUACAAAGAAAUGGCAAGUAACACACUGAAUUAAAUGUGAUAAAUUUUUUUCUUGUAAAACAUACUCCAGUCAUCUUUGUUUUAUUAACUUUGAGAUUUUUUUUUUUAAACAAUACCAUGCUCAAAAACCUAUUGUAGUACUCAGCAGGCUUGGCAGUGUUAAUUCAGCUGUAAUAGACAUGUAGUAUCAGAGUUAACUUAACACAGCCACUCAAUUAAACUCACAGCACUGAACUCAGAUUACAUAUACUGUUUUAUUUUUUUCCACAGGGCUGGUGGUAAGGAAAUAAUUACUUGGUAACCUUCUCAGAUGGUAUGUAUGUGCCUCUCUCAUUACUGCCUAGAGACGCACUCAUUAAAGAAACCAAUGGGGAAUUCCUCAGAGAGGGCCCUCGAGAUUCCAGCUGAUCUCACUGAUUCACGGACGAGAAUGGCUAAAGAAAUUGCAUGGAGAACACAACAGCUUCAUCUGGAGUACAAAUUGCCUUACGUGCAUGGGAAAGUUGGUAUAGAAGAGGAGCUGUCACCAACCCAUCACACGCCAUGCCAAGCAAACAAAACCACACAGAACGGCCAGAAAGUGACUGAAACAAGAGAGCCAUUUCAAUUGUUUUCCUUCAGCCGUGACUUUGUCAAUUAAAGCAGUGCAACAUUUUAGUUUGUGUAAUCUUGACGCGUUUCGCGAAAUGCCUUGUACAGGUUGCAGCUGUACAAUAUGUCAGUUUUGUUUUUCUCUGUUCUGAACCUGAACCUUAAACUGUAAGUAAUUUGUUGGCUUUGUAUGUCUGUAUAUAUGUCUGUAACACUUUAUUCAAAUAUUUAUUUGAAGUCAGCAUAGCAGUGUGCAUAGAUGUUUCUUUAUUUAAAAAUUUCUUUAUUCAUCUCAAAGCACCAGAAUGUGAUGCCCAGAGUCUUGUAAUUCAUUACGUGAAUCAUGCCAGGGGACAGUUGCUACACACCAUACAAAGCCAAAAAAAAAACAAACAAAAAAAAAAAAAAAAUUGUAAGAAUUAUGAACAUGAACAAAACAAUUCUGAAAACCUGUUGUUCACAACCUUCUGUCUCUUGAUUGAUAGUUUAUGCUUUUGUAGCAAGUAAAAGGCCUUUUAGUCUCAUU
ensembl:lncRNA